ACUGCCUUGCGAUUCUCUAAAAGUCAAACAAGAACUCGCAUCUCACUACGAAAUUCUCCAUCACUUCGCAUUCGCAAUAGAAUGACCUUGAAUUGGCAUUCUGUAAACACUAAUCUUAAUUACCCUGCCUCGAGCGAAGUGAAGUGACAACGAAGUUUGUUUAUACUACUACUAGGGAUAGCCGUUAACACGCAAAUGUAAAUCGAAGCUUACCGGUUUCAGUUUUUCGUUGUAUUUAUAAGCAUUCUGUAAGAAAAUACUAUGAAUUUAAGCUUUGGUGUUAAAGCCACAUCUAAUUUAACUAAAAAGAAAAUUAAAAGUCAUAUAUUUAUGAUAUUAAUUGUAAUUUCUGGCUGCACGCUAAGUUCCUUUGCGUGCACUAGCGAAUACCAGAAUUAAAAAACAAAAUUUUAAUUGUUUUCAAAACAAUCUCGAGCGGUCGGAAGUUUUUAUUUUACUUUUUCUAGAUUUUUUGUUACUUUGUGAGUGAAUUUAACGUUCAAUAAAAAUUAUGAGGUAAGUAAAAAUUUAACGAGCGUUCUUCUCAUCCGACAUUGGUGCAAAUAGAGGCAUUGAUAGACGUUUUGGAUUAAAAGCUAGCGAAACAAAAGGUUUAAUCGUAUCUCAACAUGUUCAAUAAGAGAACAAGGAUAUUAAAAAAAUAUAGGAACUAAAUUCUCUUGUUAAAUAUGAUCCAUUCCCGGUGAGAUAUUUAGGACAGGUUAACAUCUAUUUAUGUAUGAUAAAUCUAUCUACUACGUUUUUAUUGAUAUUCUAUUUUAACAGGGAAUAUCGGUAAUUUAUCUGUAUCUCAAAUUCACCAAUAACAAAAAAAUUAUAUUGAAUGAAAUAAAUCAAAUCAUUAACAAUUUAGGUAUUGCAAGUUGGAUUGAUGUUGUUGGAAUGUUUUUAUUGAUGCAGAGGUGACUGUAUUUAUGGUAAAGGGUGUGCAUAUUGGUACAGGGGUGGCAGGCAGUUCCAGAGUAUUGACUAAACUAACAUUAUAUAGGCUAAAGGCUGCAUACUCCGUUUAAAAUAAAUGAACAAAAUUUAGGCAUAACCUAUUUUAUUAUAUUUAAGGAACUACAACAGAUUGAAAAUACUAAUCCACAUCAUCAGAAUAUUGUAAGGAGAAUUUAUUGCCAACUCGGAAAAUGUAUCAGUAUUGGAACAAUCCCAAACAUACAGCAUUGCAUCAAGAAUCUCCUAUUUUGCAGUCAUCCUCCCCUAACUAAAUGCAAGUGACUUCUACUUAUUGUGAUGCUACUACUAGUAGCUCCAGCCACAGUAGGUCUCAUGUUAGUCAAGAGAUUGGGUUGUUAGCACUUCAACACCUGACCUGCUAUUUCACCACUUUUCAAUGAAAAGCAGAGUGUACUCAAAUUACAACAAAUUACACAGUACCAGGAUAUAUAACUUAAACAACCAUGGGGGAAUAAAUAGUCGACAGUCUGCAAGAAGGAUGAACUGUUGGUGGAAUUAGCAUAUGCAGCUAGGAAUUUUAAACCUGUAUUUCCACAUAUUACUGAUGCAAACAAAUUUCAAAAUUAUUGUAUAUAACUAUUGAAUAAAACUAUAAUAAAACUAUUUUUAUAAAUCAUUAA